GACCAAGUAAGAUUCAUCACAGGAAUGCAGGGAUGGUUCAAUACAUGCAAAUCAAUAAAUGUAAUCUGCCAUAUCAAUAAAGCCAAAAUAAGCACAUGAUCAUUUCCAUAGAUGCAGGAAAAGCUUUUGAUAAGGUCCAACACUCAUUCAUGGUAAGAAUCUUACAGAAAAUUGGAAUAGAUGGUCUUUACCUCAAUCUUACAAAAACCAUCUAUGACAAACCAAUAGCCAGCAUCAUGUUAAAUAGCCCCAAACUGAAAGCAUUUACCCUAAAAUCAGGAACAAGACAAAAAUGUCCAUUAUCAACAUUUAUCCUAUUAAAUAUAGUGCUGGAAAUACUAGCCAGAGCAAUGAAACAAGAGAGAGAAAUAAAAGGAGUAAGGAUAGGAAAAGAAGAAGUUAAAUUAUCAUUAUUUGCAGAUGACAUACCUACUAGACCCAUGCCUAUCACAACAUACUAGACAGAAGUCAAAAUGGCUAUAUAUUAACACAUACACACUAAAUCUGCUGGAAGACAAAUUAGGUAGAAAUCUUGAAGACAUAGGGAUAGGCAGAGAAUUCUUGAACAAAAAUCAAAUCACAUAGGAAAUACUUCCCAGAAUCAAUAACUGGGAUCUUGUCUUAUUAAAAAGUUUUUGCACGUCAAAAGAAAUCUCUAACAGAGUAAAAAGGAAACUCAAGAAGUUUGAAAAAAUCUUAGUCAACUGCCCCUCAGACAUAAGUCAUCUUUCUAGAGCAUAUAAAGAAUUUAAAAAAAUAAGUUCCCUGAAAUUCAAAGACCCAAUCCAAAAAUGGGCAUCUGCGUUGAAGACACAGUUCUCAGAUGAAGAAAUACGAAUGGCAAAUAAAUACAUCAAAAAAUGAUCAGCAUCACUGAUCAUUAGAGAAAUACAAGUUAAAACCACACUGAGAUUCUAUCUCAUUCCAGAAAGAAUGGCCAGGAUCAAGAAAUCUACUAACAACAAAUGUUGGAGAGGCUGUGAAGAAAAAGGGAACUCUUCUGCACUGUUGGUGGGAGUGUAGACUGGUGCAACCACUGUGGAGAAAAGAGCAGACUCAGCCCAUGAGCAGAUGUGUAGGAUCAGAAAAAAGACUUCUGAGUGGUUGCCGCGCCAAGACGACACCGGGCUGUGCUCUCCCUCUGUGCAUAGAGGACGCUGUGCACCAAAGUUUUGACUUCAGUCUGCCACAUGAGAAAAAAGAAGGAAAGAAGAAAGAGACAAGACAAGAAAAAGGAGAAAAGAUUCUACUAGCCUGGCAGGUGAUGUCAAGGUCGCAGUUCAGGAAUCUCACAAAGAAGUGAGUUUAUACAGUACUGUUGCCUGCUGCAACAUAGGCAGAUCCAGCAUUUUCUUCCUGACGGUGCCCCUACUUAAAUAUCAGCUAUUAAAAGAAGCAUCCCUACAAUGGGUAACAGUACUUUCACGUGAGGUCACUGGAGGGCAAUAUGAAAAUAAGAAAAAAAUCCCCAAAAUCCUGAUUCGGUUUAAAGCAAUCAUGCAACGCCAUUACACCCACAUCUUCCAAGACACCGUUGCCAUGGAAGUGAAGUGACAGACAGAGCACGGAGCUUUUGUCACAGUGAUGCAUCCGAGCCAGAGGAGGAGCCCAUCCAUCUUCACAGCCCUGACGCACUGCGCACUGUGCACAGGUUCCCUGAACACUGCUGGCUCCUUCCGCCGGUCCAAGGAGGAGCGCUCCUUCCUUUGCUAGGUACAGAUCUCUUCCUGCAUCUUGAGCCUGCUGACCUUCAGACUGGAACUACAUCCCUGGCCCUCCGGGGUCUCUAGUUGCUGACUCACCCUGAAAAGACUUUGAGACUCACUAGCCCCCAUGAUCAGGCCCGUGGGACUUUAGCCUUCCACUGUGACAUCUAGCUGAGACAUGCCUUGUUCAGUUAGGCCUUGAUUUUCCCUGCUUUUGCAUCUUCUCCCCAGCCCUGCCUCAUCAGAGCACUCCAGUUAGUAAGGUAAUCACAGCUCGGAGAUGACGGGAACACAGUUUACCAGGAUGAGCAAUUAGUGUAGAGUUGAAAGCUCUUGAGGUUCUCGGAAUCAUUUGCUAAAUGAGCUGGAUGAAGUACAAAGUAGAGGCUGGCGAUAUGGCUCAGCGGCACAGCGCCUGUCUGGCAAGCACAAGGUCGUGAGUUCAAUUUCCGGCACCAGAAAAAAAAAAAAAUCAAAGCACCUUAAUAAAGUGUCAGGAAGCAGGGUGAUACUUUAGAGUAACUGUCCAAAGUGCAGGCGAGAGAGCUCCCCUGGGGAGCCCUUGUGUCGGCACCCUAUGUGUUUACUGCUUUGAUGGAUGGUUCCCUUUUCCAUCUCUGAAACCACGGGUUCCUCUAGAAUGAAAACAAUAACCAAAGGCACAGUCACGGAAGCAACGAGGGACAUUCUCGUGCUGAUACGAGAAACCACAACAACUGUACGUCUCCACUGGGUUUCUAUAACUUAGCAGGUACCUGUCGUAUUGAAAGAAGAAUGUAGGCUGUUUAAACGAUGGUAAGAAAGUCAGUAGGUUUAACAUGCUAUGUAGCUACAAGUAGAGAAAAGCCCGGAUAAGAGAGCAGAUUCUAAUGGAGGUGUAGAAGUGCCCCGUGUGAGGAGAUGUUGGUUAGUCAGGACUGCAAUAAAGCUGGCUGAUCUGGUUUCAGAUAGCUUUCUUUGUUUUGUUUUGCUUUUUUUUUUUUUUUUUUUGUCUUUUUCAUUUUUAUCGGUACCGGGGAUUGAACUCACGACCACCUGCUUGCAAGGCGGGUGCUUAUGCCACUGAGCUAAACCUCCAGCCCCUUGUUUUGCUUUUUGAGACAGAGUUUUGCUAUGUAUUCCGGGCUGGCCUUGAAGUUACACCACUCUCCCUGCCUCAGCCUCCCAAAUGCUGAGGCUAUAGGCAUGCACCAUCAUGUCCAGCUUGGCCUUAAAUGUCUUGCCCGUAACAUGUUUUCCUAUAGAUCUUUCCUUCUAGACUUCUUGUAAGAAGGAGGGGUGUGUUUAGAAGUAAGAUCAUGGCUGUCACAGAAACUAUGAUCUCCUGCAUCUAUUUAAAUAUUUUAAUGUAUUUAAAUCUAUCUCAUAUUAAAAUUGUCCGUUUCCUGAAGUCUGCUUCUACUGGCUCCCAUCAUGUCACUCUUUUCCUGUUUAUAGACCAACUCCUUAGGAGAGUUUGCGGUCACUGUCUCACCUGCCUACCUCCCACCUGCUCCUCAGCACCCAGAGGGGGUUUCUUCCCUCUGUUGUGCAGCCAGCCCUUGUAACUCUUGUUGCACAGACUGUCACAGAGCACCUGACACUGUGCCGCUGCUCCGCCCCAGGGUGGCUGCUCUGUCCCUGGUCUGCGGGCUUCUCUCCUGCCUCCCCGGGCAUUUCCUUUCAGUUUCCUUUGCCCUCUUGUCUGCUGUUUCCAUCCCUCAGUGUCAAUGGCCAUUGCCACUCACCCUGACUCCAAAAUGCUCCCCCUUGCUUUCACCCCCUCACUCUUGCUGUUUUGGAACUAGUCCCAGGAGUCCUCUUCUGGGAGUAUCUUCCUGUGGUGGCUGUCUCCAUAGCCAGAAUGGAUUCAAAAUGUUUACCUUUGACUUUGGGAAGAGCCGGAGGUCACAUGGUACCAGAUCAGAAGAAGAAGGCGAAUGAGGAUACCGUAAUGGUUUUAUGAUCCUGCCGCCUUUCGGGUGACACUUGGAAGCAGCGUUUGCUGUUUCUUUUUCUUUUUUUAAUUUAUCUUGUAAAGACCCUCAUGAGAGAAGACUUCCAGAACCGCUUCAGAAAGUGGCAUGAAUGAUAAGUAUGUUUGAAGUGAAGGGGAUUAAUGGCAAUAUGUUUCUCAGUGUAAUAAAUUAAAAAAAAUUAAACACUCA